rnacentral:lncRNA from 1 species
UGUGAUGAACUGCAGGUGCAGGCCCUAUGUGUCAGCGCUUGGAAUGGGCUCGCCCACACUUGUUUGCUCCCACGAUUUCAGACCAUGACUAUAUCGGGGGCGGUGGCCUUGAUGCUGAAAAAGAGAAAGAACACAAAAGAUGGAUGAUCUUUUUUGCCUCCUGGAGCAGUCUAGCCCUGGCUGCCAGUUAUUAUCUGUGCACUGAGUCUUAUGGGCACUGGGCUGACACCUGGAUGAACAGCACCUGAGCUGUAAGCUCUUUGACAACACUGGGCAAUACACUUCAUAAACCACUGUAUUUGCAUGUGACACGUGUCAGCAGCACAAACACAGGGCACUGUGUGGCAUCAGGAAGCUUGCCAGCAGAGGGUAGUUUGAUGCUGAAGGUCAGCUUUUUAUCUUUUCAGGAACCUGCAUAUUCAGAAAAAAAUUUUUCAGAUCUGGGGACACUGGGAUUCACCACUUCCUCCUGCUGAAUUCUAGUGCCUGAAUGAGAUCUGCAAACAUUCACUCCAUACAGUUUUGAGUUUGCUACAUUAGCAACUCCCUUAGAUCCUAGAACAGUUCUGUUCCUUCCCUCUUCAGUGCCACUUUCACUGGAACUUUCCGUUACUUCAAGAUCCCAUUCGAAUUGGCCCUUCAGGUAACCUCCUUUAACUACGUAAACAUGCAAAAACCCAUCUCUCCUCCAUCUGAAUUCAUGCUACACAUGCUCUCUGUUUGAGUCACUGGGUCCCUAACAUGCACCUCCUAGUGUUGUUAUUCACUAGGUCCCUAACAUGCACCUCCUAGUGUUAUUAUUAUUAUUAUUAUUAUUAUUUGAGAUGGAGUCUCACUCUGUAGCCCAGGCUGGAGUGCAGUGGCAUGAUCUCGGCUCACUGCAACCUCCGUCUCCUGGGUUCAAGUGAUUCUUCUGCCUCAACCUCCCGAGUAGCUGGGACUACAGGCACUGUAGUCCCACCACACCCGGCUAAUUUUGGUAUAUUUAGGAGAGAUGGGGUUUCACCAUAUUGGCCAGGCUGGUCUCGAACUCCUGACCUCAUGAUCUGCCCCC